rnacentral:rRNA from 1 species
UAGGGAAUCUUCGGCAAUGGGGGCAACCCUGACCGAGCAACGCCGCGUGAGUGAAGAAGGUUUUCGGAUCGUAAAGCUCUGUUGUAAGAGAAGAACGUGUGUGAGAGUGGAAAGUUCACACAGUGACGGUAACUUACCAGAAAGGGACGGCUAACUACGUGCCAGCAGCCGCGGUAAUACGUAGGUCCCGAGCGUUGUCCGGAUUUAUUGGGCGUAAAGCGAGCGCAGGCGGUUUAAUAAUCCUGAAGUUAAAGGCAGUGGCUUAACCAUUGUUCGCUUUGGAAACUGUUAAGCUUGAGUGCAGAAGGGGAGAGUGGAAUUCCAUGUGUAGCGGUGAAAUGCGUAGAUAUAUGGAGGAACACCGGUGGCGAAAGCGGCUCUCUGGUCUGUAACUGACGCUGAGGCUCGAAAGCGUGGGGAGCAAACAGG